GCUAACUAGGUGUCGGCAGGCGUGGUAAUACGUGGGGGGCAAGUGGUAGUCGGAAGUACUGGGCGUAAAGGGUGUGGCGGGGGGGCGUUAAGUCUGACGUGAAAUCUCCUGGCUUAACUGGGAGGGGUCGUUGGAAACUGAUGUGCUUGAGGCGGUGAGAGGGGUGUAGAAGUCCCGGUGUAGUGGUGGAAUGCGUAGAUAUCGGGAGGAAUACCAGUGGCGAAAGCGGCACCCUGGCACUAGCCUGACGCUCAUGUGCGAAGGCGUGGGGAGCGAACGGGAUUAGAUACCCGGGUAGUC
rnacentral:rRNA from 1 species